CAGCGUUUAUCUUAGUUAUUAAUGCAAACUGGUCUGCUCCGUUUAGCCUCUUUUGCUGCUCCUCCAAAACCCGGACUGAUCUGUUCGUUUGUUUGCUUGGUGCCGGGAAGGGACUGAGGCUUCUGUGGUGGCGGUGGUGACCCCUGGUGGCGGUUUCUUGUUUUGUGGGAGCACCUUUCUUUUUUUUGUUUGCCGUGUUUUUGUAGUGUCCAGGGUGAUCCUUUUUCGUCACUGGAUGCUGCCCCUUUUCUCACCACAUCCCCCUCCCACUGUGGUGUUGUAUUUUGUUUGUUUUGGAAGAGAAUUGUUUUGUGUGUACAGGCAAAACAGCAGCGAGCCCGUUAAUUAUAAAGUAUCCAGGUCAUGGAGGAGGAGGAGAUCCAAGAAAUGCGGGACUUGAUUGCCCAAUCGAAAGCAGACAACGAACGAUUACGACAGGAACAGUCACGCUCUGCCCCAGGGACUGAGGCUUCUGUGGUGGCUGUGGUGACCCCUGGUGGCGGUGUCUUGUUUUGUGUGUUUUGUGGGAGCUCCUUUAUUUUUUUUGUUUGCCGUGUUUUUGUAGUGUCCAGGGUGAUCCUUUUUCGUCACUGGAUGCUGCCCCUUUUCUCACCACUUCCCCCUCCCACUGGUA